rnacentral:rRNA from 1 species
GAUGAACGCUGGCGGCGUGCCUAAUACAUGCAAGUCGAGCGAACGGACGAGAAGCUUGCUUCUCUGAUGUUAGCGGCGGACGGGAGAGUAACACGUGGAUAACCUACCUAUAAGACUGGGAUAACUUCGGGAAACCGGAGCUAAUAACGGAUAAUAAUUUGAACCGCAUGGUUCCAAACGGAAAGACAGUCUUGCUGUCACUUAUAGAUGGAUCCGCGCUGCAUUAGCUAGUUGGUAAGGUAACGGCUUACCAAGGCAACGAUGCAUAGCCGACCUGAGAGGGUGAUCGGCCACACUGGAACUGAGACACGGUCCAGACUCCUACGGGAGGCAGCAGUAGGGAAUCUUCCGCAAUGGGCGAAAGCCUGACGGAGCAACGCCGCGUGAGUGAUGAAGGUCUUCGGAUCGUAAAACGCUGUUAUUAGGGAAGAACAGCUGUGUAAGUAACUGUGCACGUCUUGACGGUACCUAAUCAGAAAGCCACGGCUAACUACGUG